UUCUGUAUGUUGGUAAAUUGAACACCAAUAAAAAAUAAAUUUAUUAAAAAAAAAGAUCGUACACCCAGCAGAAGAAGAGAGUCAAUAAUUGUCCUGUCUAUAGAAUCUUGUUUGAAGAUGCAAAUCCUAUUUUGUAAGUGUUUUAGUGGAAGUCUCUAUGUAAGUAUAUAGGAUUCUAUAUCUAUCAUCUAUUUACCUAUCUCUAUCUCUUUAUCAUCUAUCCAUAUUCACCCUUUUAUCUGUCAUGUCUAUCUCUAACUAUCUGUCUAUCUAUCUACCCAUCUAUCAUCAUUAUAUGUAUCUAGAAAGACAAAUAUCUGGGGAGCUCGAGGCAUUCCAGGCUCAGCUGUUUGAAUCUCUCCAACUGAGACUUGUGAAGAGAGCCUUCAGGAUGACCUCAGCCCUAGUCUUUCUGCAAACACAUGAGACUCCAAGUAAGGGCUGCCCCACUGAGUCCAGUCAACCCCAGAUUCUGCAGCCAGAUGUAUAGGACCCAGAAGAGAGUUGCCAACUGUGGGAAACUGGAAGUUAUCACCUUUUAUUUCCUAAGCAGUGUGUCUCUCAUUUCUGCAGUUGGAACCAUAACACACUUGAUUAACAAAGAUGAAAUGAAAGAAUCAGAGAGCUGGAGAGACUCUCACUAUUUGAGUCCAAGGCCUUAAUUUUACAGAUUUAUUAUUUAAUCCUCCUAACAACCCUCUGAAAAACCUGAGGCAUGGAGAAGUUAAUGGCAUGCUCAAGAGACCUUCCUGUUGUUUUCAGAAGAAUGAUGCAGAGAGAGAUAAAAAGAGAGUGAGAAAGAGAAUCCCAAGCAAACUCCCUGCUGAGUGCCAGGCUUGACUGAGGGCUCAGUUCCACGACCCUGAGAUCGCAACUGAGCCAAAACCAAGAGUCAGAAACUGAAUUGACUGAGCCACCCAGGGGCCCACAAGAGGCCUUUCUGCAAUGAUGCAAAUGUUCUCUAUGUGUCUUAUCCAAUAUGGUUGCCUCCAGCUGCAUGAGGCUAUGGCACACUUGAAAUGUGUCCAGUGUGGCUGAGGAACUGCAUUUCUGAUUUUAUAUAGUUUUAACAAAUUUAUAUUUAAAUGUAAUUUGCCCCAUGUGUCCUGGAGCUGUAUAUUGGACAACGCAGUAUAUUGACCUUUCUUUCUGGAGACUGUUGCUCGAGUCCAGAUAUAUUUUCUUGUAUUAUUUCUCCUACUUUUAAUUUUUGUGUUUUUCUUUCUUCCUUUUUUUCU